UAUGACCAAGUCAAAUAUUACCAUCUGGACCUAACGGAACCAUCGAAACUCUAUUCUGGGGUCAAAUUUACAAAAAGUCAACUUGAUCAACUCAUUUAACUUAAAGCUUCAAAAAUAAAAUUCAUUCUUCCAAAUCGAUUUCCAAGUAACCAGAAAACCAAACCCAACGAUUUCCAUUAGUCAUAAUAUAUCAUACGGAGCUACUCAUGUUGAUAGACUACCGAGCAAUGUGUAAAUACUUAAAACGACGAUUGGAUCGUUAGACGUGCUCGGAGGAAAAUGUUUUUGUACGAACUUCUAUGAGUCUAAGCCCUUCAAUAUCAAUGAUGGUCAUGGGUUUUGAUCAUCCUUGGAAUUGUAGGUUUCCACCUUCUUAUCAUUUGCCUCAAUUUUCUUCUCCUCGACUUUAUCCAUUUAGUUAAUUCUUCGAGCAUCUUUAUGAUUACCAUAUUGGUCCUCGACUCUUUCUCGUUCGAUCUCUCUGAGACUGGUUCAUCCUUGUGUACAUCUUCCCUCAGUGCGCAACCCUCGUCUAAAGUUAGGCUAUCGCAUCCUGUUGAGCCUAUUACAUUUUGAAGGUAACACUUAAGUUUAUUCCACCAUCUUCGACAUGGUGUAUGCUUUAUGCAGCCUAUCAAACAUCUUUACGGACACUGUGCUCAAGAUUGGUGGGGAAAUUUGCGUCGACAGCCACAUGUGAGCUAAUGUCGAUCAGGUAUGCGGGCGGGAUUCUGCUGAAGUUGACUAAGGGCACUUCGUUUUCGGGUGCCACAUUGUCGCUUUUGCCAUGGUGGCCGGAUUCAUUGUCAACAUGUAGGACUUCUAAUUGAGAGCACGACACUUUUAGUUUUAACCUGAAAUCAGAAACAUUUUAAAGAGUAAGUGUAAAAUAAUGUGCGUUAUGAAAUAUUUUAUCAAUUAACUACGAUUAUCCUUAUCUCCACGGUGGACGCCAAAUUUUAUUACCCUCAAAAUCGGAUAAUAAUUAAAUUUAUAUGUAGUUUUAAGAAUACAUAGAUUAAAUUGAUACAAGAAAAUAAUAUAAAUUGUAAUUGCGAUAAAGUAUGAUAAAGUAAAUUCAAACCACAAGAAUAUGACAGUGACAACCUUAGGAGGAGGGCCAAGCUUGACCAGGAUACAGUUCGAUAAGUAUUAUGACACAGUUGAAUAUGAACUUAAAGAGACAUAUUAUUAUAUUGCUUUGAAUGAUUGUUACAACAUGUUUUACAAAUAAUCAUACCCCUUUAUAUAGUAGGGGAGUUCUACUUUAGGUACAAUUCUAUAAAGGAUAAGAAUCUCAUGAUUUGCUGAUUAGCCGGUUACUUAUUGAUACGUGUCAUGAUUUCCGUCGUGAUGCCUGACCGGUUACGGAUAAUUCAAACUUGUGUUGUUUGGUUUGGCAAUGUUUUUCGAGCUCAUUCGAGGUCAGGCUCAAUUCCAGGGGUCAUGAACUCGAUGUUAUCGAGAAUGGGCAUUCUGACCUCGUAUCCUGGUUCUAUGGAAACUAGGGUCAUCUUUAACCCAUCGCGUUUCAAUUUCGAUCUAUCAUGCAAUAGACGAGCCGGAUUUUGAUCAUAUACAGUUAGUUCUACAAAUUAUGACUGAUUCACCAUCUAAAAUGCUUUUUUUCCAGCAGAAUGAACUCUUUGGCAUCCUACACUAAUCCAUUGGCUAAUAUUUAUUGGAUUAUUUGCACCAUCUGGCUUUUCUUAAGGCCACUAUUUAAAUCAAAUGAUUAUUUUUUUGUAAAAAUAAUCAUUGAACUACAUUAAUAGCUAAAGUUUAUCCCACUGCGCUAAUGACUACCUUAAAAAAUGAGUAAAAUUCACUUUACCUCUUAAUCUUUUCAGUGUUGGAAAAAAAUACCCCCUCACGUUUUGAAUGGGUAAGAGAAUCCCCUUGUGCAAUAGUUUUCCGCUGAAACAAUUCUUUUAAUAAAAAUCUUUUCAUUUUUUUAAUAGAUAAUAUUAAGAAUAAUCAUGUUCUUUUAUUAUAGCCAAAAGCUCAAGAAUAUGCCACACAAUUAGGAUUUAUAUAAUUAUGGAUUUCCCAUUAGCCUUCUUCUUGCAUAGUUUAAGAUAUGAUAUAAUGCGAAAAUGCCUCCGUAAUAAAUUUUUAAAUGUGACAUUAUCAACUAUAAUUUCUAUUCAAUAGAGAUAUUUUAAAAAUAAGUAAAGUUUCAUAAUUGCUUUAGUAUAAUAAUUUUAAUAUACAAAAAAAUAUAUAAAUAAAUUAUACUCGUAGCAGCAGUUCUUUCAUCUAAUAUAUAUGUUAGAGAAUUGACUACUUCAGGUACUUUUUCCCUUCAAAUUCAAAUUUUAAAGCAUCCAUGGUGAAUGUGCGUUCAUCAUAUUUCUUGAAUUUUGCAUGCAAGAUCUUUUUCUUUAUUCCAAAAAUUUUAACGAUGGCCUCAAUAUAACCUCAAUAUAAUAGAACAAUAUUUUAAACAUUACAAGCAAAAAAAACGGAAUUCAAGUAUUGAUUUGGAUAAAAAAUUAUUAUACUUCACCUUUGAAAGGAUAGAAACAACAACAACAACAACUACUACACAGUAUAGUCCCACAAAGUGGGGUAUGAGAAGGGUAAUAUGUAGACGAGACUUACCCCUACCCGAAAGGACAGAGAGGCUGUUUCCAAUCGACCCCCGGCUCAGUGAAGGAAAGGAAAGACAAAAACAAGAGAGCAUUAGAGUAAUUCUAGCAGAAAUAGCGUAAAUAAUUAUCUAAACAUAAGAAACAUAAAUAAAAUAGCAUGCAAUAAUGUAAUACAGUAACUACCAUAAAUAACUACCAUAAGGGAGACAAAAACCAAAACACAAAUCAUCUAUGGAUAGCCCUGCCAAGCCUCACCCAACCCCGGGUGAGGAG
rnacentral:lncRNA from 1 species